CUUUGGUGUCAUAUCGAUCGCAUUGCUGGAGCGCAAUCCUGAUCAAUUAAUCAAUAAAAAGAUUUACUCCUUUUCUUUAAUUAAACGGGAAAAAUUGAAUUCAAACGUUCCCGCCAUGUAUUUUCAUUCGCAUGGGUUGGUAGCCCUGCUUCUUUCUGAUGGCGUUGUCAACUUCACGUACAACGCCGCCAUUUUAGUUGUGUCUUUGGUGUCAUAUCGAUCGCAUUACUGGAGUGCAAUCCUGAUCAAUUAAUCAAUAAAAAGAUUGCUAUUGUUCACUAGAGGAAAGUGAUGUUGAAUGCUCCCAAAUGACAAAAAAGUAAAUUUGAAUGGAUUUCAUUGAAGGAAUUCAGGGAUUUAAUUCUAUGAAUAAUUUAAAGUGUGUUAGAAAGGUAUAAUGGUUUUUUGGAAGACCAUCGUAAUAUUCUAAAGUGUACCAAAGAUUAUUGGUUUAAAAUAUUUUUUAUUCGAAAUUCUGGCUAAUCGAAAAGAUUAUUUCUACUUUCAUUUUUUGGAUUUCAAGACUUCAUGGAUUUGGUUGUGAUUCAAAAUACAAGGAUUGAUGUCAUCCGGAGCUGAUUGGAGACGCUGGAGAUUCUACAAGGAACGACAUCAACGAGCGUUGUGGCAUUUUUUUCGAUGAAUACCCUACUUGGACUAUACACUCUGCCUGCAAAUGAAACGAUGGGACUGACUUUAGCAGUCGCAACGAAAUCAGCGAUCGGUGAGUCACUUUUACUAACAUAGAUAUUUAAAGUUAGAUAGUCAGGGC